rnacentral:rRNA from 1 species
GAACUCCUUCGCCGAGUCGAGUUUUUUGGGAAUCCAGCCCAAAUGGGUGCUAAAUUUCAUCUAAAGCUAAAUCUCGGCCCGAGACCGUUAGCGCCCCACGUAGAGUGAUCCAAAGAUGAAAAGCACUUGGAAAGAGCGUCAAACAGUACCGUGAAAUUGUGAAAGGGAAGCGCUUGCAACCAGACUUGCCCCGUGGGUGAUCACCCGGUAUCUUACCGGUGCACUCACCCGCGGUCAGGCCAGCAUCGGUUUGGGUGGCUGGAUAAAGUCCACCGGAAUGUAGCUCCCCUCGGGGAGUGUUAUACCCGGAGGUGCCACGCAGCCCGCCUGGACCGAGGACCGCGCUUCGGCUAGGAUGCUGGCGUAAGGUCCUAACCGACCCGUCUUGAAACACGCCCAAGGAGUCUAACAUCUAGCGAGUGUUUGGGUGUCAAACCCACGCGCGUAAUGAAAGUGAACGGAGGUGGGAACCUUAAGGGUGCACCAUCGACCGAUCCUGAUGUCUUCGGAUGGAUUUGAGUAAGAGCAUAGCUGUUGGGACCCGAAAGAUGGUGAACUAUGCCUGAAUAGGGUGAAGCCCAGAGGAAACUCCUGGUGGAGGCUCGCAGCGGUUCUGACGUGCAAAUCCGAUCGUCCAAA